GGUAGCGAAAUUCCUUGUCGGGUAAGUUCCGACCUGCACGAAUGGCGUAAUGAUGGCCAGGCUGUCUCCACCCGAGACUCAGUGAAAUUGAACUCGCUGUGAAGAUGCAGUGUACCCGCGGCAAGACGGAAAGACCCCGUGAACCUUUACUAUAGCUUGACACUGAACAUUGAGCCUUGAUGUGUAGGAUAGGUGGGAGGCUUUGAAGUGUGGACGCCAGUCUGCAUGGAGCCGACCUUGAAAUACCACCCUUUAAUGUUUGAUGUUCUAACGUUGACCCGUAAUCCGGGUUGCGGACAGUGUCUGGUGGGUAGUUUGACUGGGGCGGUCUCCUCCUAAAGAGUAACGGAGGAGCACGAAGGUUGGCUAAUCCUGGUCGGACAUCAGGAGGUUAGUGCAAUGGCAUAAGCCAGCUUGACUGCGAGCGUGACGGCGCGAGCAGGUGCGAAAGCAGGUCAUAGUGAUCCGGUGGUUCUGAAUGGAAGGGCCAUCGCUCAACGGAUAAAAGGUACUCCGGGGAUAACAGGCUGAUACCGCCCAAGAGUUCAUAUCGACGGCGGUGUUUGGCACCUCGAUGUCGGCUCAUCACAUCCUGGGGCUGAAGUAGGUCCCAAGGGUAUGGCUGUUCGCCAUUUAAAGUGGUACGCGAGCUGGGUUUAGAACGUCGUGAGACAGUUCGGUCCCUAUCUGCCGUGGGCGCUGGAGAACUGAGGGGGGCUGCUCCUAGUACGAGAGGACCGGAGUGGACGCAUCACUGGUGUUCGGGUUGUCAUGCCAAUGGCACUGCCCGGUAGCUAAAUGCGGAAGAGAUAAGUGCUGAAAGCAUCUAAGCACGAAACUUGCCCCGAGAUGAGUUCUCCCUGACUCCUUGAGAGUCCUGAAGGAACGUUGAAGACGACGACGUUGAUAGGCCGGGUGUGUAAGCGCAGCGAUGCGUUGAGCUAACCGGUACUAAUGAACCGUGAGG
rnacentral:rRNA from 1 species